UGCCACCUGAGAUCCUGAGACAUAUCCUCAUGAAUGUGGUCAAAGAAGAUGGAGAUGUGGCCUUCUUCAGACUGUCUCUGACGUGCUGGCUUUUCCAUGAUGUUUUUUGUGAUACAUCAUUCAGAAAAGAGGCUUAUUUUGCCUGGCUUGACAGUGUUGUUGACUGGAGUGCAUACUCCAGAGACUUCAAGGAGAUUUACAGAGUGCCAAAUAAAGUGACCAGUUGCCUUUGUUGUGGGGACUUAUUUAAAGACUUCCCGCCAGGCUAUAUUGGCGAUGGAAGGA